GAUUGACCAGGGAACUGACAGAUUCAGAUUGAGUGAAUUUUUGUGAGACAGUUGGCCUUUAAAAGCUAUAAAUAGGUGGAAAAAACGAAUACUUCAAAGUGAAGAAAACUAAAAUGGUAUACAAAUUAGAAAGGAAAAUAAUACAACAAUAGACCCUUGACUUAUUUCAGGCAAACUUCCUCGAAUAAAAUAAAUGUAAACUGUUGGGCCCCAUUUCAGUCAAUAAAUAAAUUCAAGUAAAAUGCAAAUUUUAAAGAAUCACCCACGGGUGUCACUGCCUAACUUGAUUAACUUAAGCUCCCCAGAGCGGGCGCUGGCAAGGCUCCUAAUGCCAUUCCAUUACCAAUUGAGGUCAACUAGCGAGUGGGUUCAGCUAAUGUGAUCAUUGGCAGCGCAGCUUCCGCCGGAUCCGUGGGCACGGGUAUGUAUGAACCUGCAUUGCCGGCGCCAAAGAGUUCUGUUCUGAUGUUUGUGCAGGCAAACUCAUUUGGCUUUUUGGCACAUUAGGCGGUUGCCUGCGAACAACUAAAUACAAGGACGAACGGCAGGAGCUCAAGGCAGCCGCCAGGAAGCCGAACAAUGGGGACACUGCUGCCUCGACCGCUGAUGGUGACGGUGAUGCUGAUGCCGCUGUAAUUGGCCCUAAUCUACUCAGCUCUUGGCAUUGAGGAGGUCGCUGUCCCCGGACACAAUGCCGACCCUGGACGCACGCUCUCACAAUGAGCCUUUGCAGAGCGACAGUCAUUGUGUCCUGGUCUGCUGCUCCUGGCCCCUGCUCCUGUGUCUGUCCCCUGGCCAUUUCCUCGUCUGUCCGCCGGAGACUAACAAGUCCAAACAAUUGACAAAAUGAAGCGACAACGCCGAACGAGUCUGGAACGGGCGAAAUCUAAUUUAGCGCAAGUGAUGGCAGUAGUCAGGUCAGGACGGGUCAUGGCGUGAGGCGAGUCCUUGUCGAGGGGCGGGAGUGCCUGGGAUAGCGGCAGGUAUACUGGCUCGAGAUGAUGCACAGAGCAAAAAAAAGGAUAUAAUCGAAGUGCUCCAAGAGUUGAGAUUUAUUUUCCAUAAUCCUUAAAAUACGUUAUCCUGUUUAAAGAAACUAUAUAAAAUCUUAGAACAUAUAAACAAAAAAUAAACGAAUGAGCCUUUCAUA